CGGCCUUCGGGUUGUAAACCUCUUUUAGUAGGGAAGAAGCGUAACAGUGACGGUACCUGCAGAAAAAGCACCGGCUAACUACGUGCCAGCAGCCGCGGUAAUACGUAGGGUGCAAGCGUUGUCCGGGAUUAUUGGGCGUAAAGAGCUCGUAGGCGGUUUGUCGCGUCUGCCGUGAAAACCCGAGGCUCAACCUCGGGCCUGCAGUGGGUACGGGCAGACUAGAGUGCGGUAGGGGAGAUUGGAAUUCCUGGUGUAGCGGUGGAAUGCGCAGAUAUCAGGAGGAACACCAAUGGCGAAGGCAGAUCUCUGGGCCGUAACUGACGCUGAGGAGCGAAAGCAUGGGGAGCGAACAGGAUUAGAUACCCUGGUAGUCCAUGCCGUAAACGUUGGGAACUAGAUGUGGGGACCAUUCCACGGUCUCCGUGUCGCAGCUAACGCAUUAAGUUCCCCGCCUGGGGAGUACGGCCGCAAGGCUAAAACUCAAAGGAAUUGACGGAAUCGAAUU
rnacentral:rRNA from 1 species